AAGAAAAAAAAAUAUUCCUGCGGUUUCUUUUGAAACAAUUCAUCACAAUUAUUAUUUCCCUAAUCACGAACUGUAUAUCCCUAUAUAUAUUUAUAUACUCUCAGGUUCGUGACUUCUUCGUCUCUUUGCAUUUCUUAUAUAUAUAAAUGUGUGUGUAUUUUUAUCGGGAGAAAGAGAUGAAGCAAAUAUGGAGGGAUGAAGAUGAGAGCGCGGACUACACUACUCGCGUAUAAAUGACGACACGCAUCAGUCACUCUUUAGAUUGUUCAGAGUCUAGCACGCGUUUACAAAUUAAUUAUAGUAUCAAUUAUAUUAUCAAUUAAGUCUUGUGACCUUGACCUCGAAUCUUCAUCAUCCAAAGAUCACAUUAUUCUCUUGGAUCGAGAGUCUUAGAGAAAGGAGGGAAAAAAAUAAUAAUAAUCAAAGAAGAUGAAUCCAGAUUCAAGCAUCAGUGAAAAAAAAUCCCUAAACAAAUAAAAGAAGAAAUAGUGCGAAAAUAUUUUGUUUCUACAGCAAAACGUUUCGUAGAAGCAAAAAGAAACAAUAAUUGAGUCAAUCAAUGAUCAUUCAUUUGUCGAUUGCUUAUUACUAUUUUUUUUCCUUCUUUCUUUUCUUUUUCUUUCUUAAAAAAAAAAAUAAUCAACGAAGCCUCUGCUCCCGAGAGCACUAUCACCAACCCGACUUGCGUCAAUCGAUUUUUCACGAUGUCUCUAUCUUACGACUCGAGAGUAUCUGGUACAUACAGUUACAAGUCACGAGCGAAUGUUCACACAUUAAGCGCUCUAUUGUUUAUUAGAAAAUAAUGUCAAUUUAAAUAAUUAUUCGAAUAAUUAAAAAAUAAAUAACAAUUCGUUCAAAAAGAAAGUGUCACAUUUUACAAUCCCCCAAAGUAUAAAAAAAACCUGCCUGUUGAAUCAUUCAACUUAAAGUUUUUUUACAAAAAUAAAUUAAAAAGCAGUGCUUGUGAUAUAAUAAAUUAAUUACAGUUAAAAAUUAAUUAAAACAACUAAGUUACAGUGUGAUGAAGAAGGACAACAAUUAAAUUAUUAAACAGUAAUUAUAAUACAAACGGCGAAAAAAAAUUACAAAUAAAGUGAGAAUUAAUUAGUUCGCCAAUCAAAGACAACAAAAGAAAAACAAAUAAUUAAGAUUAAAGAAGAUUUAAAUAGUACAAAUUCAGGACAAUAGUUAAUUAAAAUAAUAAAACUUAGGACAUUAAUUAAAAUAAUAAAA